AGCGAACGCUGGCGGCAGGCUUAACACAUGCAAGUCGAGCGGGCGUAGCAAUACGUCAGCGGCAGACGGGAGAGUAACACGUGGGAACAUACCUUUUGGUUCGGAACAACUGAGGGAAACUUCAGCUAAUACCGGAUAAGCCCUUACGGGGAAAGAUUUAUCGCCGAAAGAUUGGCCCGCGUCUGAUUAGCUAGUUGGUGAGGUAACGGCUCACCAAGGCGACGAUCAGUAGCUGGUCUGAGAGGAUGAUCAGCCUCAUUGGGACUGAGACACGGCCCAAACUCCUACGGGAGGCAGCAGUGGGGAAUAUUGGACAAUGGGCGCAAGCCUGAUCCAGCCAUGCCGCGUGAGUGAUGAAGGCCUUAGGGUUGUAAAGCUCUUUUAACGGGGAAGAUAAUGACGGUACCCGUAGAAUAAGCCCCGGCUAACUUCGUGCCAGCCGCCGCGGUAACAC
rnacentral:rRNA from 1 species